ACAACCAUAUCUUCUUUGUGACCUUUGCUUUAUUGUUGUGUUACAGAACGGAGACACAGGUCUGCAUGUAGCGUGUAGCAGGGGUCAUGUCAAAGUUGUGGAGCUGCUCAUUAAGAACCAGGCUGAUCUCAACGUGACUAACGUGUACGGAGACACACUUCUGCAUGUAGCGUGUAGAGAGGGCCGUGAUAAGGUUGUGGAGCUGCUCAUUAAGAACCAGGCUGAUCUCAACGUGACUAACGUGAUCAGAGACACAGGUCUACAUGAAGCGUGUAGAUGGGGCCGUGGUAAGGUUGUGGAGCUGCUCAUUAAGAAUCAGGCUGA